AUUGAACGCUGGCGGCAGGCCUAACACAUGCAAGUCGAACGAGUGGCGGACGGGUUGGUAAUGUCUGGGAAACUGCCCGAUGGAGGGGGAUAACUACUGGAAACGGUAGCUAAUACCGCAUACCAUCGGAUGUGCCCAGAUGGGAUUAGCUAGUAGGUGGGGUAACGGCUCACCUAGGCGACGAUCCCUAGCUGGUCUGAGAGGAUGACCAGACACCCUGUGACUGAGACACGUCCCAGAAUCCUACGGGAGGCAGCAGUGGGUAAUAUUGCGCAAGGGGGGCAACCCUGACGCAGCCAUGCCGCGCGAAUGAAGAAGGCCUUCGGGGUGUAAAGUUCUUUCGGUAGCGAGGCGUUAACUACAGAAGAAGCACCGUCUCACUCCGUGCCAGCAGCCGCGGUAAUUC
rnacentral:rRNA from 1 species